rnacentral:misc_RNA from 1 species
GAUGAAGAACGUAGCGAAAUGCGAUAAGUAGUGUGAAUUGCAGAAUUCAGUGAAUCAUCGAAUCUUUGAACGCACAUUGCGCCUCCUGGUAUUCCGGGAGGCAUGCCUGUUCGAGCGUCAUUAAAAUCACUCAAGCUUAGGUUUACCUAUUGCUUGGUCUUGGAGAUGGAAGCCAAUUUAUUGGAAUCCUCUUCGAAAUUCAAUGGCGAAGACCCUUGCUCUCCCAAGUGUAGUAAUAACUUAUGUCACUGAAGGAAGCGAGAAAUCUUCUGCCGUAACCCCCAUAUUUUCUAUGAUUGACCUCGGAUCAGGUAGGGAGAACCGCUGAACUUAAGCAUAUCAAUAAGCGGAGGA